AUUGAACGCUGGCGGCAGGCCUAACACAUGCAAGUCGAGCGGAUGAAGGGAGCUUGCUCCUGGAUUCAGCGGCGGACGGGUGAGUAAUGCCUAGGAAUCUGCCUGGUAGUGGGGGAUAACGUCCGGAAACGGGCGCUAAUACCGCAUACGUCCUGAGGGAGAAAGUGGGGGAUCUUCGGACCUCACGCUAUCAGAUGAGCCUAGGUCGGAUUAGCUAGUUGGUGGGGUAAAGGCCUACCAAGGCGACGAUCCGUAACUGGUCUGAGAGGAUGAUAAGUCACACUGGAACUGAGACACGGUCCAGACUCCUACGGGAGGGAGCAGUGGGGAAUAUUGGACAAUGGGCGAAAGCCUGAUCCAGCCAUGCCGCGUGUGUGAAGAAGGUCUUCGGAUUGUAAAGCACUUUAAGUUGGGAGGAAGGGCAGUAAGUUAAUACCUUGCUGUUUUGACGGUACCAACAGAAUAAGCACCGGCUAACUUCGUG
rnacentral:rRNA from 1 species